GAUGAACGCUGGCGGCGUGCUUAAUACAUGCAAGUCGAGCGAACAGACGAGGAUCUUGCUCCUCUGACGUUAGCGGCGGACGGGUGAGUAACACGUGGAUAACCCACCUAUAAGACUGGGAUAACUUCGGGAAACCGGAUCUAAUACCGGAUAACAUGGUGAACCGCAUGGUUCAACAGUGAAAGACGGUCUUGCUGUCACUUAUAGAUGGUUCCACGCCGGAUUAGCUAGUUGGUAAGGUAACGGCGUACCAAGGCAACGAUGCGUAGCCGACCUGAGAGUGUGAUCGGCCACACUGGAACUGAGACACGGUCCAGACUCCUACGGGAGGCAGCAGUAGGGAAUCUUCCGCAAUGGGCGAAAGCCUGACGGAGCAACGCCGCGUGAGUGAUGAAGGCCUUCGGAUCGUAAACCUCUGUUAUUAGGGAAGAACAAAUGUGUAAGUAAAUAUGCACGUCUUGACGGUACCUGAUCAGAAAGCCACGGCUAACUACGUG
rnacentral:rRNA from 1 species